rnacentral:misc_RNA from 1 species
GAUGAAGAACGUAGCGAAAUGCGAUAAGUAAUGUGAAUUGCAGAAUUCAGUGAAUCAUCGAAUCUUUGAACGCACAUUGCGCCCUCUGGUAUUCCGGGGGGCAUGCCUGUUCGAGCGUCAUUAUAACCACUCAAGCUCUCGCUUGGUAUUGGGGUUCGUGGUUCCGCGGCCCCUAAAAUCAGUGGCGGUGCCUGUCGGCUCUACGCGUAGUAAUACUCCUCGCGAUUGAGUCCGGUAGGUCUACUUGCCAGCAACCCCCAAUUUUUACAGGUUGACCUCGGAUCAGGUAGGGAUACCCGCUGAACUUAAGCAUAUCAAUAAGCGGAGGA